AUAUAAGUCAAGGUACCAUAACAGUUCAAACAAUGCUGUUUUUUUUUUUUAAGUGGUCCUAUGUGGGAUAAACAUUCCACGGCCACUUUUUCAAUUCAAAAGUCAAAAAAGUUAAUGUUUCAAUGAUCAUAGAACUGUUUAUGUAUAGUUUAGUCCAAAAUGCACCUAAAUGUGAUGAUUAUUCUUUUAUUUAUUGGAAGUCGCAGCUUCACUUAAAUUUAUCUCAUGGUAAUUCUAAUUUCUAUGUGCAAUAUUGCUUUUGUGUAGGGUCGUAUUAUGAACUGCUUCUCUACUGUCCGAUGUAUAAAUUUGAGGAAUAUUUUGCAUCUCGGUUCACUUGGAUCUGUUUUGUUUAUUUAUUCAUGUUUAUUGUUAUUCACAUCUCGGGAGGGACUUCGGUGGGGUUGUAUUUCCUCACCCUUACAUUAUGAACUGACAUUCUCCUUUGUAUUUUAUUUGAAUAUGCUUUUAGGAAGUUUCACUUUUUGUUGCAGUUGGUAUUCAUCUACGUUUUGUUGCUUAGGCUCUACCUAUUACCUAACCAAGCAAUUGUAGAUAGACUAACCCUGCAGAUGCAGAAGCUGCCCAAGCCGUUGGUGAGGAACAUCUUUUGGAAGCGAGAGAUAAAGUACAAACCGUGUUAGCAGCAAGAAUGCUAAAUUUUGAAGGUUCUGAUGUCAGGAAUAACCAUAGCUGGGAAAAACAACAGAAGAUUUGGCAGACAAAAAGAAACUGGACACUUUUACUACCAAACUAUUUUCCAAAGUUCAAUUUACUUUGUCAACUCCUCUUUUAAGUAAGAGAAGAUUGUCUCAUAGAGAAGUUGGGUGAAAACAAAAGUAAAACAGCAGGGAAGUUCGAGCUUAAUGGAAAAAUUAAGUUGCUUUGUGGGACAAGUUUUCAAAAACCUGUUUAAAGGAGGGGGAAAGAGAAAAACUUUGAACUUUUGACUGUCAAGAUUGUGAAGAUUGGGAAUUGUAAUGAUUGAGAAAACUUCUCUCAACAUUUCUGACUCUGACGAAACGUGGCAGAGUUAUGGGUUUCUUUUUUUUUUCCAAAGGAUCACUAGAAUCUGGGAGCAGAUGGAUUUUGAGCCACAACAUUGAGAAAAGGUACAACAAACAAAGAUCACAUUGAAAUCCACCCAAAAAAGUGAAAAAGGGAAUGGUGAAGUUCAUAAAAUAAUUAAACAAGUGGGAGCAAAUGCCAAUGCAUUGCUUUGUCCUCUGUCACCAUCAUCUGCUUCUUGAUUUUGCUUCUAAGCUUAUCCAUUUUUUUUAAAAUAAAUAAAUAAAUAAAUAAAAUUUGGCAUUUGGAGAAGGAUAUGAGAUAUCAUAUCUAUGAUAGCAAGGUCAAAUAUGCACUUCAAAACUGCUGCUUUUGGAAUUGACCUCAUUUCGUUUCGUUGAUAAAAUAAUAUCCUAAAAGUUUUUUCUUU